AAAGACAGCUGGGGAUUUGCAGCCCCCAAGCAGGAGGAGGGCUCAGAGGAUGAAAAAUUACUAAGAGGAGACAGCAAGGGUAGGACUCCCACUUAAACUGGGCCAGGUGGCCUAAGACAAGGCCUAGGGACAGGCCCAGUUGAAAAGAGGACUCAGAGGAGCCCGUCUGAAGUUUGGUCGAGGAGAGAGUCUUUAUCACGUGUUACGGGAUCUUGGGAAAACUCCCCUUUCCAGGGAAAAGGGCCCUCAGUCGUUCACGGCUUCCCGCAGCGAAUGAUGGCUGAACGCCUGCUGUGCCAGGCACUGUGUUAGGCCUUGGGGUUACAGCAUGAAGACAGACACGGUCUCACAUUCUCAGGGGAGACAAGCAAUAAGCAAACGGCUAAAAGAGUCAGUGGCACAGAGGGUGCUUCAGAUGGUGACAGGCGUCAUGGAGAAGAAUAAAGGGGAAGGAAGCCUGAAGAGCAGAUCUGGAGUCAGAGCCUGGCCCUGCUACUCAGUAGCUGUGUGACUUUGCACAAGUCACUUAACCUCUCUGAGUGGUAGUUCUUCCAUCUAUCACAUGGGGAGGAUAAUGAUAUGUUCUUUACAGCAAGAUUAAAAAGAUGGACAAGGAAGCUGGCCUUCCCCAAGAAGACUUUGGUGUCGGAAAUUUCUG
rnacentral:lncRNA from 1 species